UACGUAGGGGGCGAGCGUUGUCCGAAGUUACUGGGCGUAAAGCGCGCGUAGGCGGGGGGUUAAGUGAGAGGUGAAAGGCUGGGGCUCAACCUCAUGCAGUGCCUCUCAUACUGGCCUUCUUGAGGGCGGUAGGGAGAAGUGGAAUGGCUGGUGUAGCGGUGAAAUGCGUAGAUAUCAGGAGGAACACCGAUGGCGAAGGCAGAUCUCUGGGCCGUAACUGACGCUGAGGAGCGAAAGCGUGGGGAGCGAACAGG
rnacentral:rRNA from 1 species